rnacentral:snoRNA from 1 species
AUCCCAUGGUUUGGACACUUUCUCUUAAGUCAUUAAAUCUAUUCCAUGUCUCAUGAUAGCUUUCUCCCUUUUUCUGUUAAAAUGUUCGAAUUUCCAAUCUGAUUUU